rnacentral:rRNA from 1 species
GAUGAACGCUGGCGGCGUGCCUAAUACAUGCAAGUCGAGCGAACGGACGAGAAGCUUGCUCCUCUGAUGUUAGCGGCGGACGGGUGAGUAACACGUGGAUAACCUACCUAUAAGACUGGGAUAACUUCGGGAAACCGUAGAUAAUACCGGAUAAUAUUUUGAACCGCAUGGUUCAAAAGUGAAAGACGGUCUUGCUGUCACAUAUAGAUGGAUCCGCGCUGCAUUAGCUAGUUGGUAAGGUAACGGCUUACCAAGGCAACGAUGCAUAGCCGACCUGAGAGGGUGAUCGGCCACACUGGAACUGAGACACGGUCCAGGCUCCUACGGGAGGCAGCAGUAGGGAAUCUUCCGCAAUGGGCGAAAGCCUGACGGAGCAACGCCGCGUGAGUGAUGAAGGUCUUCGGAUCGGAAAACUCUGUUAUUAGGGAAGAACAUGUGUGUAAGUAACUGUGCGCAGCUUGACGGUUCCUAAUCAGAAAGCCACGGCUAACUACGUG